rnacentral:rRNA from 1 species
AGGUCUUGACAUCCUCUGACAAUCCUAGAGAUAGGACGUCCCCUUCGGGGGCAGAGUGACAGGUGGUGCAUGGUUGUCGUCAGCUCGUGUCGUGAGAUGUUGGGUUAAGUCCCGCAACGAGCGCAACCCUUGAUCUUAGUUGCCAGCAUUCAGUUGGGCACUCUAAGGUGACUGCCGGUGACAAACCGGAGGAAGGUGGGGAUGACGUCAAAUCAUCAUGCCCCUUAUGACCUGGGCUACACACGUGCUACAAUGGACAGAACAAAGGGCAGCGAAACCGCGAGGUUAAGCCAAUCCCACA